GGGAAGCUGACGAAUACUAUGUCCACCUUUUCUCAGGGUUUGAAAACAGCUUCCUGGGCAGGGGAGAGGGCAAUGCAACAGAUAGUAGCCAUGACGAUUCAGGAGACGAACUGUUCGCGAAGACAUUGAAUCAAACUUCAACAAUGCUUCAGAGACGUAGAUCACGUAUAUAAACGGUGGCAGAUGGCGGAAAGACCAAUAAAAGUAUAUCGACGACAUGCUGUUCAGAGUGCUGGUUUAGCUGAUUUGACGUUAAUAACUAGCAUGGUGAUAUCCAAUGGAUUUAUACAAUUAAAGUAUAUCGUGUGGAAAAUCAUAUAACACGCAGAUAAACUUUGUUAAAGUAAUGCAUGUUCUUGAAGUUAUCCGACGAAAGCCUUCUCCUGAUAUUCUAUCCGGUAGUGAAAGCUGAAAUUCGUUGUACGGUUUAAAUUAUAUGUACGCAGUUAAGCCGUAGAUAAGCCAAAAACAAAUGUGACCUUAUCUUUCAGUCUUUAGACGAUUAUUAUGUCGGAAAUAUUUUGAUUGUUUUAUUUUAAUACUUGCUCUCUUUUUAGCUGUGUGAUGCUAUUUUUGAACAAAUUGAUUUGACUUGAAUAUUGAUCAAUGUUUUUCGUGUUGCCGAUUCGCAAAAUAUCCAGUUUGGAAAUGUACAUAUAUAUAUAUACUUGUGAUAUUCUGUUUCGCGUUUAUUAUGUACAUAAUUUGAUAUAGUUGUUAUAUCAAUUAUUACUAACACAAACAACAUUCCUGAUGAAACUCGAUGAAGUUAUGAGCUGGCAUUGCGCCCAGUUUUUCUCAUAAUCAGAUAUACCCAGUAUCAGUAUUUAUCAACAUUCCCCCAGCAGCAUUCCCUACCUUGCAUGAACGCUAGCUAAAUUAUGUGUAUUCAGAUACACCAGAUGACACUUGCAUGAAAGCCCGAGGUU